AUGCAAUGAAAAGGACAUUUCCUGAGCAACUCUUUAAAUCUUUCCCAAGCUUCAUACAAGCUUUUAUCUUCUAGUUGAUGAAAAGAACUGAUCUCAUUUCGUAACUU
rnacentral:snoRNA from 1 species